GACGAACCGUGCGAACGUUGUUCGGAAUCACUGGGCUUAAAGGGCGCGUAGGCGGGUCUUCAAGUUUGGGGUGAAAUCCUCCGGCUCAACCGGAGAACUGCCUCGAAUACUGAAGGUCUCGAGGGGGAUAGGGGCAUGCGGAACUACGGGUGGAGCGGUGAAAUGCGUUGAUAUCCGUAGGAACACCAGUGGCGAAGGCGACUUUCUGGCCUGUUCUUGACGCUGAGGCGCGAAAGCUAGGGGAGCAAACGGG
rnacentral:rRNA from 1 species